rnacentral:rRNA from 1 species
CACGUAGGCACCAAGCGUUGUCCGGAUUUAUUGGGCGUAAAGAGCUCGUAGGCGGUUCAGUAAGUCGGGUGUGAAAACUUUGGGCUUAACCCAAAGCGUGCAUCCGAUACUGCUGUGACUUGAGUUCGGUAGGGGAGUGGGGAAUUCCUAGUGUAGCGGUGAAAUGCGCAGAUAUCAGGAGGAACACCGGUGGCGAAGGCGGCAUCCUGGACCGACAUUGACGCUGAACGGCGAAAGCUAGGGGAGCAAACGGG